rnacentral:rRNA from 1 species
UACGGGGGGAGCAAGCGUUGUUCGGAUUUACUGGGCGUAAAGGGCGCGUAGGCGGCCAGCACAAGUCAGUUGUGAAAUCUCCGAGCUUAACUCGGAACGGUCAACUGAUACUGUGCGGCUAGAGUGCGGAAGGGGCAACUGGAAUUCUUGGUGUAGCGGUGAAAUGCGUAGAUAUCAAGAGGAACACCUGAGGCGAAGGCGGGUUGCUAGGCUGACACUGACGCUGAGUGCGCGAAAGCCAGGGGAGCAAACGGG